AUCUUUUGAGUAUGAACUAGUACAGUUACCUUCCAAGUAAAAGGAUUAAAUAAUUUUAAAAAAGAUA
rnacentral:tRNA from 1 species